rnacentral:rRNA from 1 species
AGCAAUUAUACAGCGAAACUGCGAAUGGCUCAUUAUAUAAGUUAUCGUUUAUUUGAUAGUACCUUGCUACUUGGAUAACCGUGGUAAUUCUAGAGCUAAUACAUGCUAAAAAUCCCGACUCCGGAAGGGAUGUAUUUAUUAGAUUAAAAGCCAAUGCCCUCUGGGCUCUCUGGUGAUUCAUGAUAACUUCUCGAAUCGCACGGCCUUGCGCCGGCGAUGGUUCAUUCAAAUUUCUUCCCUAUCAACUUUCGAUGUUUGGGUAGUGGCCAAACAUGGUUGCAACGGGUAACGGAGGGUUAGGGCUCGACCCCGGAGAAGGAGCCUGAGAAACGGCUACUACAUCCAAGGAAGGCAGCAGGCGCGCAAAUUACCCAAUCCCGACUCGGGGAGGUAGUGACAAUAAAUACUGAUACAGGGCCCUUUCGGGUCUUGUAAUUGGAAUGAGUACAAUUUAAAUCCCUUAACGAGGAACAAUUGGAGGGCAAGUCUGGUGCCAGCAGCCGCGGUAAUUCCAGCUCCAAUAGCGUAUAUUAAAGUUGUUGUGGUUAAAAAGCUCGUAGUUGAACCUUGGGCCUGGCGGGCUGGUCCGCCUCACCGCGUGCACUAGUCCCGCCGGGCCUUUCCCUCUGCGGAGCCCCAUGCCCUUCACUGGGCGUGGCGGGGAAGCAGGACGUUUACUUUGAAAAAAUUAGAGUGCUCCAGGCAGGCGUAUGCUCGAAUACAUUAGCAUGGAAUAAUGAAAUAGGACGCGCGGUUCUAUUUUGUUGGUUUCUGGGACCGCCGUAAUGAUUAAUAGGGACAGUCGGGGGCAUCAGUAUUCAAUUGUCAGAGGUGAAAUUCUUGGAUUUAUUGAAGACUAACAACUGCGAAAGCAUCUGCCAAGGAUGUUUUCAUUAAUCAGGAACGAAAGUUAGGGGAUCGAAGACGAUCAGAUACCGUCGUAGUCUUAACCAUAAACUAUGCCGACUAGGGAUCGGACGAUGUUAUUCAUUGACUCGUUCGGCACCUUACGAGAAAUCAAAGUGCG